rnacentral:rRNA from 1 species
UACAGAGGGUGCGAGCGUUGUCCGGAAUCACUGGGCGUAAAGGGCGCGUAGGUGGCGACCCAAGUCGAUGGUGAAAGCUCGCCGCUCAACGGCGAGUCGGCCACCGAUACUGGGUUGCUGGAGCACUGUAGAGGCAGAUGGAAUUCCGGGUGUAGCGGUGGAAUGCGUAGAGAGUCCGGAAGAACACCGGUGGCGAAGGCGGUCUGCUGGGCAGUUGCUGGACACUGAG